UGUGUGUUAGUGGAAGCGUCUGGAAAGGCGCGCGAUACAGGGUGACAGCCCCGUACACAAAAAUGCACAUGCUGUGAGCUCGAUGAGUAGGGCGGGACACGUGGUAUCCUGUCUGAAUAUGGGGGGACCAUCCUCCAAGGCUAAAUACUCCUGACUGACCGAUAGUGAACCAGUACCGUGAGGGAAAGGCGAAAAGAACCCCGGCGAGGGGAGUGAAAAAGAACCUGAAACCGUGUACGUACAAGCAGUGGGAGCACGCUUAGGCGUGUGACUGCGUACCUUUUGUAUAAUGGGUCAGCGACUUAUAUUCUGUAGCAAGGUUAACCGAAUAGGGGAGCCGAAGGGAAACCGAGUCUUAACUGGGCGUUAAGUUGCAGGGUAUAGACCCGAAACCCGGUGAUCUAGCCAUGGGCAGGUUGAAGGUUGGGUAACACUAACUGGAGGACCGAACCGACUAAUGUUGAAAAAUUAGCGGAUGACUUGUGGCUGGGGGUGAAAGGCCAAUCAAACCGGGAGAUAGCUGGUUCUCCCCGAAAGCUAUUUAGGUAGCGCCUCGUGAAUUCAUCUCCGGGGGUAGAGCACUGUUUCGGCAAGGGGGUCAUCCCGACUUACCAACCCGAUGCAAACUGCGAAUACCGGAGAAUGUUAUCACGGGAGACACACGGCGGGUGCUAACGUCCGUCGUGAAGAGGGAAACAACCCAGACCGCCAGCUAAGGUCCCAAAGUCAUGGUUAAGUGGGAAACGAUGUGGGAAGGCCCAGACAGCCAGGAUGUUGGCUUAGAAGCAGCCAUCAUUUAAAGAAAGCGUAAUAGCUCACUGGUCGAGUCGGCCUGCGCGGAAGAUGUAACGGGGCUAAACCAUGCACCGAAGCUGCGGCAGCGACGCUUAUGCGUUGUUGGGUAGGGGAGCGUUCUGUAAGCCUGUGAAGGUGUGCUGUGAGGCAUGCUGGAGGUAUCAGAAGUGCGAAUGCUGACAUAAGUAACGAUAAAGCGGGUGAAAAGCCCGCUCGCCGGAAGACCAAGGGUUCCUGUCCAACGUUAAUCGGGGCAGGGUGAGUCGACCCCUAAGGCGAGGCCGAAAGGCGUAGUCGAUGGGAAACAGGUUAAUAUUCCUGUACUUGGUGUUACUGCGAAGGGGGGACGGAGAAGGCUAUGUUGGCCGGGCGACGGUUGUCCCGGUUUAAGCGUGUAGGCUGGUUUUCCAGGCAAAUCCGGAAAAUCAAGGCUGAGGCGUGAUGACGAGGCACUACGGUGCUGAAGCAACAAAUGCCCUGCUUCCAGGAAAAGCCUCUAAGCAUCAGGUAACAUCAAAUCGUACCCCAAACCGACACAGGUGGUCAGGUAGAGAAUACCAAGGCGCUUGAGAGAACUCGGGUGAAGGAACUAGGCAAAAUGGUGCCGUAACUUCGGGAGAAGGCACGCUGAUAUGUAGGUGAAGUCCCUCGCGGAUGGAGCUGAAAUCAGUCGAAGAUACCAGCUGGCUGCAACUGUUUAUUAAAAACACAGCACUGUGCAAACACGAAAGUGGACGUAUACGGUGUGACGCCUGCCCGGUGCCGGAAGGUUAAUUGAUGGGGUCAGCGCAAGCGAAGCUCUUGAUCGAAGCCCCGGUAAACGGCGGCCGUAACUAUAACGGUCCUAAGGUAGCGAAAUUCCUUGUCGGGUAAGUUCCGACCUGCACGAAUGGCGUAAUGAUGGCCAGGCUGUCUCCACCCGAGACUCAGUGAAAUUGAACUCGCUGUGAAGAUGCAGUGUACCCGCGGCAAGACGGAAAGACCCCGUGAACCUUUACUAUAGCUUGACACUGAACAUUGAGCCUUGAUGUGUAGGAUAGGUGGGAGGCUUAGAAGUGUGGACGCCAGUCUGCAUGGAGCCGACCUUGAAAUACCACCCUUUAAUGUUUGAUGUUCUAACGUUGACCCGUAAUCCGGGUUGCGGACAGUGUCUGGUGGGUAGUUUGACUGGGGCGGUCUCCUCCUAAAGAGUAACGGAGGAGCACGAAGGUUGGCUAAUCCUGGUCGGACAUCAGGAGGUUAGUGCAAUGGCAUAAGCCAGCUUGACUGCGAGCGUGACGGCGCGAGCAGGUGCGAAAGCAGGUCAUAGUGAUCCGGUGGUUCUGAAUGGAAGGGCCAUCGCUCAACGGAUAAAAGGUACUCCGGGGAUAACAGGCUGAUACCGCCCAAGAGUUCAUAUCGACGGCGGUGUUUGGCACCUCGAUGUCGGCUCAUCACAUCCUGGGGCUGAAGUAGGUCCCAAGGGUAUGGCUGUUCGCCAUUUAAAGUGGUACGCGAGCUGGGUUUAGAACGUCGUGAGACAGUUCGGUCCCUAUCUGCCGUGGGCGCUGGAGAACUGAGGGGGGCUGCUCCUAGUACGAGAGGACCGGAGUGGACGCAUCACUGGUGUUCGGGUUGUCAUGCCAAUGGCACUGCCCGGUAGCUAAAUGCGGAAGAGAUAAGUGCUGAAAGCAUCUAAGCACGAAACUUGCCCCGAGAUGAGUUCUCCCUGACCC
rnacentral:rRNA from 1 species